rnacentral:lncRNA from 1 species
CGACAGCUUGGCGACUCCGCUGGGGACUUGGUUUUGAACCUUAGAGGACUUAGGCCAAAAUUAAUCUUGUUCAAAAAAAUAUUUUUGUUUGGCAGCGAGGAUUUCAGGUUAGUCCCUAACAUUAAAGGUGUUAAAUGUUUUUGUAGAAUGGGAGGUAUAAGGGGAAGUGUUUGCUCACCUUUGUUUUGUAGGGAGGUGAAGGAAUGUAUGGUUUAUUGUCCAUGUAUGAAGUGUUGAUUGCUUAUGAAUUGUCAUGCCU